AAAUACACAACUUGAUGCAUUGGCAUGCAACAUUUAGUCACAACUCAAAAAAGCUUCUCUUUUUCCUCAAGUACACAGCACCAAACUAACAAAUCGAGAUGAAGAAAUGAAAUUACAGACAUGGCCCACACUGUCACGCAUCACUUGGGGACUGCAUACAGAGACCGUGGAGGGAGGGAAGAACGCCAUUCUCUUCUUCAACCUCCUCUUCCUCUUCUCUGACUUCUGACAUCGUAGCCUCUCACAACACCCGGCCGCACACUACCCGCCAUGGACUUCUCGAGAUAUCCCCCUUUUCAUGGGUAGUUCACCAGGGAGCGGUACGUCGUCCCGGGCUUCCACUUGGCGGGGAUGGCGUGGUUGGCGACGAGCACCCUGCCGGAGUCGGAGGUGAGCCGGAGCCCGAACGGCGCAUUGAGCUUCCUGCCGUUGUUGAGGCGCCACGUGGCGCCCCAGUUGUGCGCCAUGGACGUCCACACGGUGCUGCCGGCCUCCAUGAGCUCCACGGCCUUGAGGUCGCCGUCGUCGUCCUCGAACUCGAUGAGCACGUCGAAGUAGAAGGGGUUGGCGCCCUGGUCCACCUUGAAUGCGAUGUUCACGCCGGGGUACUUGCACGGCACCCGCCGGUACAGGAUCCUCAGGACGCCGCCGGCGCGGAGCUUGUCGGCCAUGCCGGGCCUCGCCAUGGCGCCCAUGGCCGUGCCGCUCAUGUCGAAGUGGGCGACCUCGCCGGGGAACAGGUCGCCGGGGGACCGGUCGGUGAUCACGAUGGUCGCCGGCUGGCCGGAGCACGCCGCGUUGGUCGUGCAUUUAACCUGCACAUGGGCGCAUUAUUGUUUAGAGAGGAGGGACCAGGCACAGGCAGCCGACAGCGACUUUAAUUUGCAGCAGCACGCAGCCGAGGUACCUCGUAGCAGCGCCGCAGCCCUCGCCGUCCAUGUACAGCGGCGUGCUCCCGGCGGCGAUCAUCGAGUCGAACGGCUGCUUCCCGACGGCGGUCUGGUACCCGCACGCGCCGCUGCGUUCACAGUUUUAGGCCAUCGAUCCCAUGUCANNNNNNNNNNNNNNNNNNNNNNNNNNNNNNNNNNNNNNNNNNNNNNNNNNNNNNNNNNNNNNNNNNNNNNNNNNNNNNNNNNNNNNNNNNNNNNNNNNNNCUUCAGAUCCUCGCCACAGCAGAUUCUUGUCAAAGGCGAGUACUGACCGUCGCUGCCGUCGCCGUUGGGCGCGCCGUAGUAGGUGGCGCCGGCGCCGGACAGCCAGGCACCGCCGUAGACGAUCGACGGCGAGUGCUUAGCGGUGUGGUUGCUGCGGGGAGGCUUGGCCGCGGCAGGCGCCGGCUUGUAGCCGACAGGGUUUGGCUUGGGCUUGGCCGCCGGCCGGUGGCCGAUGGCCGGCUUUGGCUUUGGCUUGGGCUUGGCCUUGCUGAGCUUGCGGGUGCAGGCAAUGGGGCUCACUAGGAGCGAGAGCACGACCAGCGCGGCCAACAGCAAUGCGAGAAGCUUCGCCAUUGCUGCUACUGCUCCUAAGCUCGGCGGAGUUCGCAAUUCAGAUUUCAGAGGCUUUGUAUGAGCUCGAUUGUUCUUCGGUGAGUUCCAACAGUGGCCACGAACUGGGUAUUUAUAGGGCACUUCGGGGAGGGAUCAACGCGGAGGACUUGACAUGGGAGAGAACUCUGCCGGUCGAAUUAUUGGGGAGAACGUGACAAGUUGAUGUGUUAGCGAAAAGAAGGUCUAAAAAAACCCAGCCAUUCUUAAUCUGCAAGAACCCCUGCUAAUGGCGGUUGCCGAUUGGCGAUCGCGCGAGCGAAGACACGUAGAAAUGGGCUGUGAGUACAAUUGGAGAGCUUACAUAAAAAAGUGGUAGUAUACAUUUGAAAAACACGUGUUGAGAAAUUUAAUCCGUUUAAGUACGUACUUGUAGGCGAAUGUUGUUCCAGUAGUUAGUGAUAAAACCUGUUGUGUGCCAUUUGCGUAGCAUAUAGGAGCUGCAGAUUUGUUGUGUAGGAAAUAAACUUGGGUUGUAUCCUUAUGCAAACCAUAAGCUGACAUCUGUACUAUUACUAACUAGUCCAUCAACCCUUGCUUUCGCACGACCAAUACUUUUUAAAAGCUAUAUUGUAUUUAAAAAUUAUUUAGAAAUUAAACUCCUAGCUAAUAAUCAAAAUUGUUUACCUACUACUGUCUCAUUUUUUCAAUACUUCAACAUAAUACUCGUAUAGAUGUAUACUUAUCUUUGUCCAGUUGUGAUUGAUUUUUAAUUAGUAAUUACUCUGUACACUUUUUCGUUCACAUUCACACAUUUUUUCAUUUUGAAUCGUACCUCCAUACAUUAUGUUUAGCAUAAAAAAUAAUAUUUUUAUCACUUCCUCACAAACAUGUAUAAAUGGUCUACACAGUAACACUCAUCAUGCAUAUAUACCUUACCUUAGUAUUUCUAAAUUAACAAUAACACAAAUAGAUAAUUUAGAAUCAUAUUUUAGUUUACUUUUGGAUAUUUUUUAUAAUGCAUAUGAAGAUAAUUAGAUUAACAUUUAAGUGUUCAUUUUAGGCUACUUUUAAUAACGACAUACAUGGGUAAUUUACAUAUAAAUUUAGAAUGGUAUUUUAAGUUAUGCUUUAUAAUGAUAUGCAUGAGUAAAUUAGAUGAAGAUUAUGGUGUUACUUUAGAUUAGUUUUUUAUAAUGGCAGAGCUCGGCAAUUUAGAUAUAGGUUCCGGGUUUAUUUAAAAUAUUUUCAUAAUGAUAGUGGUGGAUAACUUUUUUAGAAAACUUACAUGAUUGAUGUUUGAUUUUUUUUAUUUUUGUUAGAAUUUAUAGGGGUUUGUUUGUUCUUUCUAGCAUGUCUCGUGAGAACUAAUAUGGAAUCUUCAAUAGAAAAAAAUGAGACCACGUAGCUCCAAAACUAUUAUCCUAAGCUAUCUCUCAUUUAUUAAAUAUUCUAACACAUUUCUUAUAUAGAUAUAUGCUUAUUAUCUUAAUCUGAUUGUGAUAGACUUAGUUAGUAAUUACUCUAUAACGUUUUCAUCCAAAUUUAUAAUCUUUAACUUUUCACUUUGCAUUGUAGGUAUGCGUUUGGAUUUUUUUUAAGUUUGAGCAAUAAUUUUAGGAUCCAUUAAAAUUAUAAAGAUAUUCUCAUCAUUUCCUCUAUAUCUUUAUAAAUUAUGACACAUAUGAUGCGUAUAUACCUUAAUUAUUAUAUCAUAUACCAAUUAUGGAAGAUAUAGAAUAUUUGGAAUCUUAUAUUGGUGUAUAUUUUUUAUUAAGGUGAUUUGGAUUCAAAUGUAGGGUUACCUUAUAUCAUUUUUAAUAAUAGCAUAUAUGGGUAAUAUAGAUGCAAAUUAAAGGGUUACUUUUAAGUUAUUUUUAAGUAUUAGUGGUGAGCAAUUUAGUUACAAAUUUCGGGAGUUAUUUUAAAUAUUAUUUAUAAUGGCAUAAGUAAUUUUGAUGAAGAUUAGGGGUUACUUUAGCUUCUUUAAUAUAAUAAUAGUAGUGGUGGGUAAUUUAGAUAUAUAUUUAGGGGUUACUUUAGGUUAUUUUCGUAAUGGCAUAGGUGGGUAAUUUUUAGAAAACAUAAUAGAUCCAAUGGCUAUGAUGAUUUGAGUCUACCAAUUGAUGGUCAGAUGUUUUGAUUUUUUGUGAAAAUUUCUUGAAUUUCUCUCUUUUUCUAGAGUGUCCACCUAGGAUUCUUGGUGGCUUCACCUGGAGGCUUCAAAAUAAGCCUCCAAGUAGUAAUGGUAAGAUUGGAGACUCCUUUUGAGCCUCCAUAUGAAGUCACCUAGGAUCCUAGGUGGACAUCCUAGAAAAAGAGAUAAAUCCUAAAAAUUCCUACAAAAAUCAGAAACAUUUGACCAUCGAUUUGGUAAACUCAAUCAUAACAGCCAGGAUCAAAUUUGCUUCUAAAUUACCCACCUCUGCCAUUUUGUAAAAUAAUGUAAAUAAUCCUUAAUGUUACAUUUAAAUUACCAUAUCUGCCAAUAUAAAAAUAUUAAUCGAAUAAUACGCUCGGUAUCCUUGAUUCCCUCAAAUAAUAUCUAAGAAGGCGAACCUGUUCCUUCAGAUGCUGCCGGGGCGGCGGCAGAUCAUUCAGCGUAUGGCACAACAUGAGUAAGGACUUGUUUAGUUGCCCAACUUUGGGGUGCCAAAAUUACUAUAGCAACACUGUAACGUUUCGUUUGUAUUUGCGAAUUAUUGUCCAAAUAUUAACUAAUUAGGCUCAAAAGAUUCGUCUCGCAAAGUACAAUAAAAUUGUACAAUUAGUUUUUGAUUUCGUCUACAUUUAGUACUUCAUACAUGUAUCGCAAGUUUGAUGUGAUGGGAAUCUUCUUUUUGCAUAGUGCUAAUGUUAGGAGUGAACUACCUAAAUUUAGGUGCGCAAUGUUCUGCAAGACCAGAGUACACAACCAAUGCGAUAGCAGAGUGCGGUGCAGUGGCAGAUUCAAGAAGCGGCAGGGGAUUCCAUAUCAUGUUAAUUAUCCCAAGGACUUUGGCGGACCCUCUGUUGGUGGACGCAUGAAAGUAAGCUUCGCAAGAAGCUAGCACAAAUAGAUACGAUAUUUGCAUGCCCGUCUCAAAUUAACUUAUUUUGCUUUAUUUCAGUGGCGGAGCUUGAACAGAAAGCUAGAGUGGGCCGGCAACACUAACUAAAUUCACAAUAUUCAUGUACAGUAGCUUAACCAAUGCGCUGUGUUCUCUUUCUAUGUCAGAAGCUAUUUGUUUUUGAUAAAGGAGCUGAUGAUGCCCGGCCAAGGUGAGUGGCCUACCAUCUUUUAGUAAUGUGUGCCUAAUCUUUACUAAGACCUUAAAAGAAUAUAUAUAUAUAUAUAUAAAUAUAUAUAUAUACACACACACAGCUAUUGGACCAGCAAUAAGGUGCACAGAUUAAUUGCAUAUCAUGAUAAUUGUUAUUUUUAAGACUUCUCAUCCGGAGAUUUACUAGAGGGUUGACAAGGAGGUUAAAGAACCUGUGUUUCCCAAGCUAAUUUCGUGUCAAUAUGCUCAAAAUUAUUUUUCAAUUUUUGCUUGAAAGGUAUAUUAAAGGGCUGAAAAGAAAAUAUUUGGCUAAAACUCAUUUAGAUGGUGCUUGUUUUACAGAUAUGGGUCAUUAAAAUAGUAUCGAGCCUCUUGGACACUUGAGAAAAAGAGAGAAAUUUCAAAAAAUUCUCUUAAAAAUCAAAACAUCUAACAAUCAAUUUGGCAUAAUCAAAUCAUCAUAAUUAUUGGCUCUAUUAUAUUUUCUAAAAAUUUAGCUACCUCUACCAUUAUGAUAAUAGCCUCAAGUAACCCCAUAAAUCCAUAUCUAAAUUACCCACAUCUAUCAUUAUACAAAAUAAAUUGAAGUAACUCAUAAUCUUCAUCUAAAUUACCCACUUACACCAUUACAAAAAAAUAAUUUGUAUAAAAGCUGUCCACCACUAAUAUUAUAAAAAAUGUUGAAAAUCUACACAGAUCUAAUAAAUUUGUAUCUAAAUGUCCACCACUAAUAUUAUAAAAAAUAAUUUAAAGUAAUCCUUCAAAUUCACAUAUAAAUUAUCCACAUGUGCUAUUAUUAAAAACAAGAUAAUGUAACCCUAAAUAUGAAUUCAAAUUACCUGUAUGUCAUUAAAAAAUAAAACAAGGUACACCAGUAUAUGAUAAGUAGUCUAUUUCUUACAUUUUUAGUAUAGAAAAGAACAAUUAAGGUAUAUACACAUGAUACAUAUCACCAUUUAUAAAUAUAUAAAGGAAGUGAUAAAAUAUAGAUUUUCAUGUUAAAAAUAUAGUUCAAACUUAGGCUCCACGAAACAAAUUCAGGCACAUAACUAAGAUGCAAAGUGAAAAAAAAAGAAAGGUUGUAAAUAGGAUGAAAAAGUUAUAGAGUAAUUAAUAAGUAAAGUCUAUCAUAAUUGGAUGAAGAUAAUAAGUACAUAUCCAUAUAAGUAUUGUGUUGGAAUAUUUAACAAAUGAUAGCUCAAGCUAAUGGUUUGAUUGUUAGCUAUGUGCACUCAUUCUUUUCAAUUGGAGACUCCAUAUUAGUUCUCACGAUACGUGCUAGGAAAAAAGAUAGAUCUUAAAAAUUCUCACAAAAAUCAGAAAUAUCAUGACAUCAACCACGUAGACUCUAAUUAUCAUAUCCAUUUGGUGUAUUUUUUUUAAAAAAAUACACACCACUAUUAUUAUGAAAAUAUUCUAAAGUAAACUCCUAAACAUAUAUCUAAAUUACCCACCUAUAUCAUUAUAAACAUUAAUCUAAAGCAACCCCAUAAUCUUCAUCUAAAUUACCCAUACAUGUCAUUAUAGAAAAUAACUUAAAAUACAUCCUAGAUUUAUUUUAAGUCUCCUAUAUGUCGUUAUGAAAAAUAACAUGAAGUAAACAAUUAAAAAUUAAUCUAAUUAUCUAAAUGUUCAUUAUACAAAAAUGUCCAAACGUAAAUCGACUGAUGAUUCUAAAUUACCUAAUUUUAUCGUUGUUAAUAUAGAAUAUACUAAGUUAAGUUAUAUAUGCACGAUGGGAGGAAGCGGUGCAAAAUACUUAUUUUCAUUUAAACGCAACAAACGGACGUGCGAUGCAAAGUGAAAAAAAGUAUGGAUCUGGAUGAAAAAGUGUAUGCAAUAAUUACUAAUAAAAAAUCAAUCACAAUUGGGCAAACAUACGUACUCAUUUAUACGAAUAUUGCGUUCGAAUAUUAAAUAAAUGAGAGAGAUGUUGGUAAGAAUUCUUACUAUUAGCUAGGGUGUCUAAUUUUUAAAUAAAUUUCUAAUACAGUACCUCUUAAAAUCAUUAGCCCGUGCGUGAGCACGGGUUGAUGGGCUUGUGUUUGUGAAAGGUGGUUAGCAGGAUUUCAGACCAUGCAUGGGGGUGCACAGAAAGGUUGUUCCCAAAAUAAUUUUGCCCCUUAAUUAGUAAAAUAUGUGUUCAUUUUUGUCUAAGUUUCCCUCAUUCAUGUAUAAUAAGUGAAAUAAACAUACAUUUCACCAAAAAGAAUAUAAUCAAACACAACACUUAGCAUCUUUUUUUCACAAACUGGUGGAAGCCACUCUUUUCUCCAGUAUCUGGUGGUUUACCAUAGCCUUUUUUGCCAGGUACUAGGCUGUUCACUUAAGCCAAGCCAUGCAACCUUCACCUAUUCUAAAAGGGGUAAUAAUUCGAACUUGUCCUAAAUGUUUACAAAAGAACAAAAAACCAAACUUAAGUUAAAUUGCUCCGUCGAUCGAUAUGUUGAAUGCUGGUGUUUCACAUGCAUGGAACUGUACAAAACUCCUCAUUUACGGAACAGAAGGUGUAGACGAUCCCCAAGCUACAGAGUAGAUAAAUUUUGUAUACUCUUUUGUUUAAACUAAUCAGCUAAUCCUAAAUGUUAUAUAUUCAAAAAUAGAGGGAGUAUUUGUUUAUGAAGAUUGCUACUUCCUUCGUUCCAAAUUGUAAGUUAUUUUAACUUUUCUAGAUUCGUAGUUUUUGCUAUAUAUAUAGAUAUAUAUGCAAUAUGUUCGUAAAAAAAAUUAUGUAUCUAGGAAAACCACGACAAUUUAAAAUUUUAAAACGAAGGAAGUAAUAUGGAAGCAAUGGCCGCAUAUCAAACCUCGAAUUCCUUGCUACCAACGUAGCAAUGACAUACAACUUUGAUUUCUCGCUACCAUCAUAUAAAGCAGAGACAGAUCGAACGGGAAAAUUUCAAUCAAAAUAAAUUAAGAAACGAUCAAACUGUAGUUUACACGUGAUUUGAGCAGCGAUUGGUGAGGAGAUGAUGUCAUGAUUGAUUGCUGCUAAUGACCACCGACAUGAAGGCCAACCCAUGGAUAAUGGAGGCGAUCACGUUCACCAACCGACGAUCGGGAUAAAAGAAUUGCAGCCCCACGAGGUCACCAGUUAGUUGGGAUAUAGCAUGGAUUGAUGAAGAAUAAGAAGAAUCGCUGGCCAUCUCCAUUUGAUCCAUUGUAUCAUUCGUUUCCCAGACGCAUAUGGUUGGCUGGCUAGUACAUCAUUACUCUCGCUCUUCGUCUCUGUAAUCAGUUCUCGCUUGGUGCUGAUCAUGCAUCCGGGCUAGCGUGACUUACCUGUCAUGCACGAGCGAUCGAUGCGACCCCAAGCAUUCUCUCUGCUUAUGCCAGCAAGGAGAAUAGUGUCUGAUUGCAGCAAAAGCUCUGCUGCGUUCGCGGCUUUGCAUUCUCUGCUGACACUCUGUUCAUCCUUUGGGUCAAUGCCAUGUGAGUGGUCGAUGCGACGAACCCCCUUUAUCAAGACAAACGGAAUGCAAAGAGCAUAUAUAAUCGUAUCAUGCUUUUCAAUUACAGAGAGAGAGAGAGAGAGAGAGAGAGAGAGAGAGAGAGAAUUUUGAGCUGUUCAGUCGUUUAGACAGGAGUGCAUGUCGAUCUGUAGUAUAUGCGUGCUGUAGAGAAUAGAGAGAUUUAUAGUUCGCGCGCAGACGUUUUGGGGAAGGAAUUAGUUAGGGUGGUGUCAUGAUUAUUGUUGCUAAUGAACACCAGCAUCAACGGGAUCGAGGCCAAACCUUGGAUAAUCUGAUGGUGAAUCAGAGAGUUCGUUAGGAUACCACGAAUCGAUGACGAAUCACUGGCCAUCAACUUAGGGCCAGUUUGUUUUAGCUAGAGCAUGUUUUUUUUAGAUUAAGGAAUAAAAUUCCGGCCUUAACAUUCACAAGUGAAUGUCUACAGCUUAGACCACCCUAAAACAACACGCGCAAAAUGCCACUUAGAUCAACCACACAGAUCACCAAGUAGCACAAAGGAAACAACUAACGCAGGAUAAAAGGCUAAGCUUCAAUCCUAUUUCUGAACUUCCACCCAAUUUAGCUAGAGCAUGUGGAUUGUAAGAAGCAGAUUGUACAAAAGAAGGUACAAAAACUUCAGGCUGGAUUGUUAGAUUGUAUCGGUCUGGGAUUUUUACAAUCCGAUUGCAAAAGGCAAUUUGUUUGUUUUGGCUAGAGCUUAUAAAAGCUAAAAUUAAGCCAGAAGCUCUUCCUGAAAAAAAACGGGGCCUUAAUCAUAAAUCACUUUUCUCAAACGCAUGCAUAGUUGCCAGCAGGGUGAAUGCUUGUAGCUUGCUGUCUUUGAGACUUUCUUAUAUGCUCUGUUGGUGUUAAUUUGUAUAUGUAUUAUUGGGAGCUGAAUAAUUUGGUGCUCUAUGUAGGGCACAUGUGAUCGUCGACGACGCGAUGAAUCUCUUUAUGCAGGCAACUUGAGAUGCAAACGGUAUAAUCAUACAUCACGUCAUGCUUUAUAGUUCAGCCCUGCAUUGCAUCAAACGUCUACUUUUAAUCAGUGGAUGGGAGCGCCAAGCAACUAGUCAUGAACUUCUUUGAUUUUAAGGAAUCGAUAAAGUAUAUUGGAAUUAUUCAUACCAUUUCGUUUUUUUUAGUGGUCGAAAUGAUCCCACAAGCACAUGCAUGAGGCCAUGAGUAGACGAGUGGGCGUGCCCCGGUAUCUGUCUUUGGAUCAGAUUUGCCGGUCGAAUAAUGCAAAUAAACGAUUGGCAUUGUGCUUUUGCGCUGUUUUAUAAUCUAGUAAAUUGAAUUUGAAUCAGCUACUAUUAGUCGUAUUUGAUUUUUAUUAUUACGUACUCUCACACAAUGCUAACUUUAAAAAAUUACGCAUAUGAGGUACACAGUUGCAUUUGCCUAGGCCUUACAAGGAUCUCAUCGGCGGCGGAAUGGAGCAAAGUGUUGGUAUAUAUUGAUAAAGUUAAAAAUCUCACUAGUUUCGCAGUUUAGGGUAAACUAGCCUGGGCUAAUAUUUUUAAAAGCUAUUGUAUUUGAAAAUUAUUUAGAAAUUAGACUCCUACCUAAUAAUUAAAAUUGUUUAUCUAACCCUCCUCUCAUUUUUUAAUACUUCAACAUAAUACUCAUAUAGAUGUGUAUUUAUCUUUGUCCAGUUGUGAUUGAUUUUAAUUAGCAAUUACUCUAUACGCCACAUUCACAUUUUUUUCAUUUUGUAUCGCACCUCCAUACAUUAUGUUUAGCAUAAAAAUCAAUUAUUUUUCUCACUUCCUCACAUACAUGUAUAAAUGAUCUACAUGGUGACACCCAUCUUACUUAUAUACCUUAACUUAGUAUUUCUAUAUUAACAAUGACAUAAAUAGGCAAUUUAGGAUCAUAUUAGUUUUCUUUUAGAUAUUUUUGUACGAUGAACAUGAAGAUAAUUAGAUAAAAUUUGGUGUUUACUUUAGGUUAUUUUCAAUAAUGACAUACGUGGGUAACUUAGAUACAAAUUUAGAAUAGCAUUUUAAGUUAUGCUUUAUAAUAAUAUGCAUGAGUAAAUUGGAUGAAGAUUUUUUUUUAUAAUGGUAGAGCUCGAUAAUUUAGAUAUAGGUUUAGGGGUUUACUAUAGAAUAUUUUCAUAAUAGUAGUGGUGGGUAAUUUUCAAAAAAAAAUAGACCAAUGACCAUGAUUAUUAGAAUUUACAAGAUUGAUGUUUAAUGUUGUUUUUUUUGAGAAUUUAGGAUUUGUUUCUAGCAUGUCUCAUGAGAACUAAUCCGGAGUCUACAAUGAAAAAACUGAGACCACAUUGCUACAAAACGAUUACUUGAGAGGUAGUACCUUGAGCUACCUCUCAUUUGUUAAAUUUAGAACACAAUACUUAUAUAGAUAUAUAUUUAUUAUCUUCAUCCAAUGGUGAUAGAUUUUAGUUAGUAAUUACUCUAUAAAUUUUCAUCCACAUUUAAAAUCUUAGCUUUACACUUUGCAUCUCAGGUAUGCGCCUGAAAUUAUUUAAUGGACCAUAAGUUUGAGCUAUAAUUUGAAUAUAUAAAUUUAUGUUACCAUCACUUCCUCUAUAUCUUUAUAAAUGGUGACACAUAUCAUGCGUAUAAAUCUUAAUUAUUAUAUCAUAUAUCAAUAGUGUAAGAAAUAAACAAUCUAGUAUUAUAUAUUGGUGCAUAUUGGGGUAUAUUAUUAAUAAAGGUGAUUUGGAUUCAAAUUUAGAGUUAUCUCAAGUUAUUUUUAAUAAGGACAUAUGCUAUAGAUGCAAAUUUAAAGGGUUGCUUUAAGUUAUUUUUUAAGUAUUAGUGGUUGGCAAUUUAGUUGCAAAUUAAGGGGUUAUUUUAAAUUAUUUUCAUAAUGGUAAGUGUGUAAUUUAGAUGUAUAUUAGGGUUUACUUUAGUUUAUUUUAUAUAAUGGAAGAGGUGGAUAAUUUAGAUAUAGAUUUAAGGGUUACUUUAGGCUAUUUUCAUAAUAUCAUAUGUGGGUAUUUUUUAAAAAAUAUAAUAGAUCCAAUGGCUAUGAUAAUUUGAGUCUACCGAUUGAUGGCCAGAUGUUUUUUUUUGUGAGAAUUUCUAGUAUUUCUCUCUUUUUCUAGAGUGUCCACCUAGGAUCCUAGGUGGCUUCACUGAGGCUUCAAAAAGAGCUUCCAAUUAGUAAUAGUAAGAUGGCAUCAUAGCGUGGGUAUGUGACACAACAAAAUGUCAUAGGAAUAAUUAACAAAGAUGGAAGAUUUAUUCUAUAUAACUUAUAUCUUUGUGCAUGAUAAUUAAGAGAUGACAUGUUUCUUACGUAGAACUUACCUACUCGGGUUUAAAUCCUCGAUUCAUUACUGGUAUUCACAUAUUUCUGAAUUUAUUCCAAGAAUUAACUGCCCUAUGCUUUCAUCGGUAGGCGAUAUGCUCGUCGUGCAUGUAUUUAUAGAUUGUGAGUGUACUUUCAUGUUCAUGUCUGUGUGUUUGUAUUUAUAGGCUGAAUAUUUCAUAAAAGUGAGCGUACGUUCGUAUUCAUAAAUGUCUAUGUUGGUAUGAUUCGUAAAGAAAAUAUUAGAGACCAUAUUAUUAAAAAGAAUUAAGAGGUGACACUGACACAUGGAGACCGAGACGCAUGAAAUUUUCUGGGCCAAGAGGGCCCGCGCGCGUAUGAUACUCUCGUGGAGAAAAGAAAUGCAUGCUGCGUCUAUUCCCUCGUGGGCUGAAUGAGAAAAGGGCCGGCAAUCUACAUGAUAGGCCGAACAUGUUAGACCAUGGAACAGGCCCAUCAGGCCUCUCUUCUGAGAUAUAUCUCUCCGCCGCAGCAGCCUCGCUAACGGGCGCACCUAGGGUUUUCGGUUCCGACCUCGCGCCGCCGCCAGGACACUCGGACCGACGGAGGAGGAAGCUACAGCUCGGCAGCCAUGGUCAGCGACCCGCUCCUCUCCUCCCUCCACCUUGUAUUUUCUAUCUAAGGAUCGAAUUAGAUUCUUCCUGUUCUUUCUGCGCCUAUCGUACUUGCCCUUGGAUGCUUGCGUUGCGGUGGUCGCGUUUCCUCCUGUUCGUGGUUUGAUUCCGGUGCCAGCCCCAGAUGUUGGGCAGUUUAGUGAGGGCGAUUCGUUUCACCCGCUGGUCAACCGGUGGGUUGCGUGUUGUAUGUACCUUCUGAGUGUGUUGGAGUUGCUAAGAGAUGCGAGGUCUGGUUGUUUGAAAAUGUGUAUUCCGUCUGUUUUAUUGUGCAAUUUUCGACUAAAAAUUAUUAUGGUGGACGAGGCUAGUCAAUUGUCUCCAUCCAGUUCGUUUGUUACAGCGAUAAAAUAAUCAUGUUAGCUGAUGGUUGCACAGGCAUAAGUAGAGGCCUUUGGUCAAGGGGACUGGUUAUAGCCAUUUUUGUAAAAGAGGGCUUUCGUUCUAGAUUACUUCAAGUGAAGCUUGAAUCAACUGUUGUGCAUCGUAUUCUGUCUUAGUGAAAUUAGUGGCACCAUGUGUUUACAAAUGACUACUUGUAAUGCAAUUGUAGUAAACUCCUGAUUAUUUUGCAAGUUAGAAACUUAGAAUUGCCACCAAACUAUUAUGUGACAUGUUGCUAGUCAAUCAUUUGUAUAUCUCAAUUAUGCAACGGGAACAAAACGCCACCAUGUUUCAGUUUAUAUGGAUAUAGGCAAGGAAUGACCCAAGCAUAACUAUACAACUGAGUAUGUAACUAUGUAUUGUUUAUGAGUUCGUGUGUCUGCAUUAUGUUUUCAUAGAUUAUCUGUGAGAUCCAUAGUUUAAUCUUUGACCUUGUGUGAGCCUGUGAAUGAGUCUUCAUACCAUCUGUUAUCCAUAUUGUUUGAGAUCCUCUUACACGUGUACUAAAUCUCAUCUUUUGGAACUGAAGAUCCAUUUUUGCCCUAUUAACAAAUGUCAUGUGUAUUGAUUCAAGCAUCGGACUAGCUUGUAUGGUACUCCCAUCUGACAUACUUUUGCAAGAUCUCAUCCUUCUACAAGCUAAUUUAAUUAUGGGACUGCUGUUUUUACAGAUACAUUUUGGGAUGGUUUUGAGUAGGAACUGGCAUCCAUGAUCUAUUCCAAUAUUAGUUCACCAUGUCCAUGUUUUUUCUGGAACCUUUCUUAGUUUAUUUAUAGUCCUUUUGGUAUUUUUGUGCUGGAAACUUCAACGCUUAUUGUUUUAUGUUCAUUUGUUAAGCUGCUUUUCCUGUGCAGCUUUUGGUGUCUUUUGUUUCUGUUAGAAUAUGCGUCAGUCUUUUUGCGAAACUCAUGCACCAAUAAUUCUUCUUUUGUUUUGAAUCCUGUGAUGCAUAACUCCAGAUUAGGUAUUGAUAUGAAUUGUUACAAUCCGAGCUACUGUUAAGUUCGUUCAUUCUUUAGGUUAUUUAGUAUAAGUAUCUUGGACUCAUUAUGUUGAAUUUAUUCUGUAGGUGAACGUUCCGAAAACCAAGAAGACCUACUGCAAGAACAAGGAAUGCAGGAAGCACACCCUGCACAAGGUUACCCAGUACAAGAAAGGAAAGGAUAGCCUUUCAGCUCAAGGGAAGCGUCGUUAUGACCGCAAACAGUCAGGAUAUGGUGGUCAGACAAAGCCUGUUUUCCACAAGAAGGUUUCAUACAAAUCCCAGCCCUUUGCAAUUGCUCAUUAUGAUUGAAUGCUGCUUCGAAAAUCUUAAUGUUGCUCUAAUGAGGUUUGUUUACUUGAUGUAACUAAUAUGCAUUGGUGCAUUUCAGGCCAAGACAACAAAGAAGAUUGUGCUGAAGCUGCAGUGCCAGAGCUGCAAGCACUACUCGCAGCACCCGAUCAAGGUAUUUUUGCCUCCGCUUUAUUGUCACUUCUUCGUAUUGCUUCUGUAUCAGUGUUUCAGUUUUCUGACACCGAAAUUGCAACUUCAGAGGUGCAAGCACUUCGAGAUCGGUGGCGACAAGAAGGGCAAGGGAACCUCUCUCUUCUAAGCUGAUGAUAAACUUGUUCUUAGCCCCAGGUCAUCUGCCAGAAGUUACCAUUUGGAAUGUUCUAUGUUAUCCUUAUAUAGGGAGAUACAUCAGAUGGGAACCCACUGGAGUGAUACAAGAUAUAUCUUGUGCUUUGUGUCUGAAUCAGCUGUUUUGUCAGAUAAAUUUGGUACAAUAUAGUUUGUACGAGACCAAAUGAUGAAUAUGCUAUUAUGUUCGAGCUCCGGAUCUUUUUUGCCGCAAGUACUCCAGCCAGUUAAGUUACUCCUUCCGUUUUAGAUUUCAAAUUGUAGGUCGUUUUGGCUUUUCUAAGAUCAUAGAUGUUUGUAUGCAUCUAGACAUGCACUAUAAUGCACCUAGAAGCCAAAAUGACCUACUAUUUGGUUGGGACGGAGGGAGUAUCUUGCUGUGUUCAAGCUGAUCAAUGGUUAUGGAUUGUAUAGUGGCAAAGGAAUUGAUUUCCAUCCAAAGUGCCCUUUUGAGAACGCUGCUGUGAUGGGUAUUUGUCCAUGUUGCUGGCUUGCUGGUUAUGAAGCGGCAAUGUUAUUUUAGUUUAGUGAUUAAUAGUUCGGGCAAAGUCGGGCCUAGAAAUGCGAUAAUCAUGUUUGUGAGUUAAUUUUCCAUAGUGGGCCUGCCUCUAUUUGCCAACAGCCAGAUACCGCUAUUGACACUAUAUUGGGCCGGGCCUUGGUGGUGUGUAAUUAAUUGUUGGAUAAAGUUCUAUUUACCACGGACUAUGGGCUGAGCCUGUGUUUCAGCUGGGACUUGAAAACCGUCCUUUUUGGCUCCUCGUACUCACGAAACCGAACAUGUGACGUCCCCAACCCGAUUCCACACUGGUUUUGCCGAGCUGGCGCCACGUUGCCUUUCCAAUGUGUCACGGGCCCACUUGUCGGUGUCGUCGGGUGCACGGGGGAAUAAAAAAGAGGCCGGCACCUGUGGACUGUGGCCGAGCGAGCCCUCAGAUGGAGCAGCCGCGACCUCCUCCCUCUCUGCACCGCUCGCCCGUGGGCCCCGCCUCGACGGAGCGCCGGCGAGAUCGGCACCAGGUGCCCUGAUGUUGCAUUGCUGCCUCCUUCCAAAUCGGAGCUGCCGUUGCUCGCCAUCGCCGUGGAAGCGGCGGAUGGACCUCCGGGAGAGGCCACCGUCCGCCACGCCCACGACCCCGCUGCUCCGGUUGAACUCCGCCACGCCGAGGAUUUCCUCCGGUGGCGCUCCGCCGAGUCCCUGCCCCGGGAAGGGUGGCGGUCGGAAGCGAGGCAGCUCGUGGUCGACGCCAGACGCGGCCUCGGCGAGGCCAAGGACGCGGUGAGGCUGAUGCGCAACGCCGUGCUGUCUUAAGGAUGAUUCUGAAACGCGUGUAACUGCAGAUUGCCUCUGUUGGCUUCCUAUUUGUGCUGUGCCGUGCGCUCCCAGCUUACCCAAACUUUCCUAGCUUGUUGCUGCUGGAGAAUUUCAGAUUGGAUUCACGCGAUUCAUUGAUCAGCCACGGUGAAAAUGGAGUGAUUAGCAUUUGUCAGUAAGCUUUUUGAGAUGAGAUGUUUCUCCUCUCAGUUAGCUAAGUUGUGCCUGUUAAAUUUAUAGGAUCUCUAGGUGUACUUCUAGCGGGUUAACAACUUAUUUUUUAGAUAAAAACAAAACCUUAGAUCUAAACAGGAACAACCGAGAGUAAUCGAGAGAGAAAGAGUAGAGACAGUAGGGGCACCACCAUCAGGCUUGAAGGAUGAGCUCACUAUGGCGGUGACGGCGAGGGCGGAGAUGGCGGCGGUGACGGCGAGGGCGGAGAUGGCGGCGGUGAGGUGGCAGCGGUGCUUCCCGCGGCUUCAGCGCUAGGGUUAGACCGGGUUCUAGGGUUUGUCGCUAGGUCUGGUGGGCGCAGUGAACCUUGGUGUGUGUGCCCUCGGCCCCCAUCUCCUCUUUUUAUAGCGCUGCGCGAUGGGGCCUGCCAACCAUGUACGGUUGGGCGCCCCCGAUUAGAGCGUGAUCAAGGACUCCGACUCGAUCGUUGGACCGAGUCGAAUGAAAUCAAACUAACAUUCUCCCCCUUAUCUCAUCUCAUACUUAAAUUUAGUCUCAAACUUAGAAUACUUAACUUAACACCCGUUUCAUUACAGACCAGUCUAUAGAGCAUGCCUCGUAAUAAUAGUCGGUUAUGUACUAUCAAAUUUAACAGCUACAAUACACCUUUCUAUUUUGAAACAGAUUCUUAUUCUGGGCCCUUAGUAUCCAAGGAUCAUAGGCUUUCCUGUAAACCCAUGCUGGCUAAGUGUUCUCUGAACACAUUGGGCGGUAAGCCUUUCGUGAGCGAAUUCGCGAGCAUUUUCUUUGUUCUUAUAUGCUCUAGACUAAUGGUAUGAUUCGGAUUUUCUCUUACAACAUAAAACUUGAUGUCAAUGUGUUUGGUAGCACCACUUGACUUAUUGUUGUGAGCAUAAAACACUACUGGCUCAUUGUCGCAGUACAUCUUGAGUGGCCUUUGAAUGUUGUCUUCCACUUUCAACCCGACCGUGGCCUCAUAACAUGCUACAAACUCGGCAUACAUCGUGAACGAUGCUAUGACAGUUUGCUUGGAGCUUUUCCACGAUAUGGCUCCACUUGCGAGAGUGAAUACAUCAUCUUACGUGGACUUUCUAUCGUCUACAUCUCCCGCAAAAUCUGAAUCUGAGUACCCUUCUAUUUCAAGGGAAUCAGUUCUUUUGUAUGUUAACAUGAGACCUUUCGUGUCUUGCGUAUAGCGCAAUACCUUCUUUACCAUUCUCCAGUGAUAUAUUUCUGGAUUAUCCUGAUAUCUGCCAAGUAUCCUGAUUACAAAAGCUAAGUCAGGGCGUGUACAUACUUGAGCAUACAUUAAGCUUCCGACAGUUGAAGCAUAUAGAACCGCUUUCAUUUGAUCGAUCUCAUAUGCAUACUAUACUUUUUUAAAUCUUUUCUAAGUAUGCCUUUUGUGAUAAUCCUAAAACCCCUUUUCUUCUACCUCAGUGAAUUUCAAUUCCUUAAACGAAUGAAGCUUCACCGAGAUCUUUCAUAUCAAAGUUAUCUCCAAUAGCAAACUAACAUCACUACUGGUGAGUAAGAUAUCAUCUACAUACAGGAUAAGGAAAAUGAAUUUUCCACUCUUGAACUUUGCAUAAACGUAAUUGUCCUCCUUAUUCUCACUAUACCCAAUUUUUCUUAUUGUUUCAUCGAACUUCAAAUACCACUGUCUGGAGGCUUGUUUUAAUCCAUAAAUGGAUUUUCUUUAGGCGGCAUCCCAUACAUUCUUUUCCUUCCACGACAAAACCUUUGGAUGGUGCUAUGUAAACAUUUUCAUCUAAGUCCCUGUUGAGAAAUGCCGUCUUUACAUUGUGAUGUAAUUCUAAGCCAUAGUGCGCCACUAAAACUAUUAUGAUUCUAAAGGAAUCCUUACAUGAGAUUGGAGAAAAUAUCUCAUUAUAAUGUAUUUCUUCUCUUUGCGUGAACCCUUUUGCCACAAGUCAUGCUUUAUAUCUUUCAACAUUCCCUCUGGAGUCACAUUUUGUUUUGUAGAUCCAUUUACAACCUACUGUCUUGGCUCCUUUAGGAAUUUCUUCUAAACCCCAGACUUUAUUGCUACUCAUAGAUCUCAUUUCAUCUUCCAUAGAUAGCCAUUUCGAUUUUUGAUUAGCGCUUCUCAUGGCUUCUUCAAAUGAGGUGGGAUCUCCCUCCAUUUGAAUUUAUUCACUGACAUAGACUUCGUAGUCAUCAGGAAUAGAUGGUUUUCUAACUCUUUGAGACCUUCUGGGGGCCUCAACAUUUGGUGCACCUUCUAUAUGGGGCUGUUGCAGCUCUUCCUCAUGUGUGACAACACGUUCUAUAGGAUCUUGAAGGACAGGUUCCUCAUCUUCAUUUGUUGUUGCCACGGAAGAACUAACAACAGGUGUUGUUACCACAGUGUCCUGCACUCUUGAUGCAGCAGCAACAGGUAUCGAGAAAAAUGGUUCCUAAAUCAUCGGAGUGGGUACGUAUAUCUGUUUCUCCUCAAGGCUAAUUUCUCGGGUACCCUGCUCCUCCCGAUCAUCUUAUCCUCCAAAAAGGCAGCGUGUCUCAUUUCUACAAACCUAGUAUGUCUGUCAGGAUAGUAGAAACGAUAACCUUUUGACUUAUCCGGAUAGCCAAUGAAAUGGCAACUAACUGUCUUAGGAUCUAGUUUCGCAAUAUUUGGGUUAAAUACUUUGGCCUCAGUCGGAUAGCCCCACACACGCAAAUAAUUUAGUGAGGGCUUUCGUCCAGUCCAUAAUUCAUAUGGUGUUUUAGACACCGACUUACUGAGACUCAAUUAAGAAUGUGAAUGGUGGUUUUGAAUAACUCCAUCCACAAAUUAAUCGGUAGAGCGGAGUAACUUAUCAUACUUCUCACCAUAUCCAUUAAGGUAUGGUUGCGUCUUUCAGAACUCCAUUUUGCUAAGACUCGCCUGGUAUGGAGUACUAGGCAACUAUGCCAUUUUCAUGUAGAAAACUUGCAAAAGGGUCAGGAACUUGGCCAUAUGGGUUAUGUCGACCGUAGUACUCCCCCCACGGUCGGAUCUUACUAUCUUAAUUUUUAAAUUAUGAUGAUUUUCUACUUCAGCCUUAAAUAUGUUAAAUUUAUCCAACGCUUCUGAUCAUUCCUUAAUUGGAUAAAUAUAGCAAUAACGUAAAUAAUCAUCUGUGAAUAUUAUAAAUGAAUCAUAACCAUCCACAAAUGUCACAGGAAAUGGACCAUAGAUGUCUAUGUGAAUUAUUUCUAAAAUUUUUAUGCUUCGUUUGGUGUCUUUCUUAAUUUUCUUAACAUGCUUUCCCUUAAUGCAAUCGAUGUAUUGCUCUGAAUCUAAAAAUUCUAAGGGUGGAAGAAUUGAUUUCUUAAUUAACUGUUCAAUCACUACUAGAAAAAGGACCUCUAAUAGAGAUCCCAGACCCCCCCUCUAGUACCGGUUGAAAUAACCGGUACUAGAGGGUGUUAAAAAAUAAAAAAAAUCAAAAUCCCCCCACCGACCUCCUGGCUCCCCCGCUGGCGGUGGCCCCCACCCCCCACUGCCUCCUUUCCUCCUCUCAGCCCCCUCCACCUCCACUCGCCCCCGCCACCAUCCCGCCGCCGCCUCCUCCUCCUCCGUCCCAAACCACGCCGGCCCCCUCCUCCUCUGCCCCAACCCACGUCGGCCCCCUCCACACCCACCUCCUCCUCCUACUCCCGGCCCCCUCCGCCUCCACUCGCCCCCGCCACCGCAUCCCGCAGAGAGAAGGGGGGCACGUCGCGUGCCACCAAGCCGCCGCCGCCGUUGCGCCUCACCCCGCCGGCGCUCCUCGCCCCAGGCACGACGUGAGGGGCGACCGGAAGGGGGAGGUGUGGGGAGGCCGAGGGAGGCGUGCGAGAGGAAGAGGGAGGGAGGUGUAAUACCUGCCAUUUUUAGUCAUCAAAGUAGCUCUGAAAAAAUAGAAGCAAUUCAGGAAGAAAAGGAGGAGAAAUUGGCUAAAAAUCAAAUUCGGGUCAAAUUUGGCCGAAAUUUGAAUUUUGAAUUCGAAAUUCAGAAAAAUUUGGCAAAAAUAUGGAAUGGAAGUAUAAGAGUGAUUAGAACUUAAAGAUCAAGAUUUGGGACAAGAUUUGGUCCUAAAUACCUCAAGAAAAUCAAAGAAAGAAAUUGAAAACCAAAGUUACUGUUCCCCAUCCGACAACAGCAAUUUCAGAAAAACAGCACAGAGUUCAUUUUUUGAAAUUAAUUUCUGUUGAAUUUUUCAAAUAAGUGGACCAAGACAACUACACAGUGAUGAAUUAUGGACUUUGGACAAAUAGAUUUGAGUGUUGUUGAUCAGGAACAGUAAGGGGAACAAAUUCAAAUCAAAGCUCAAAGUCAGCACCUUGUCACGGUAGACUGCACUACUGAAUUUGACUAAGUCUGAAAACAGCAAUAUGUGGCCAAGUUUGGAGCUGAUUUCAGAGAAAUGUAGAUCAAAAGGUGUAAGUGUUUAUGGGCAAAAUGAAAUCCUUGAAGGUUGUAGAACACAAAUGGGAAGAAGUUGGACUACAAGGAAAGGAUUUGGAUCACUGAAAUCAUUUACAAAGUGAGGUAAAUGACCCUGUCAUGUAACUGACGAACUGAACUUUGAGUUCAGAGAAAUUCAGUUAAAGAAGAAAGGAAAAUUCAAAAUUUCACUGUGCUAGGAUGUUUAUCUCGGGUCAGAGCAAAAAUAAAACUUGGAGAGUUCAAGUUUAUCUACAACAUUGCUUAAAGGACCGUGGAGCCAUCGGAUUGAAAAUCGACCGUGAAAAGGCUCUGAAGUUUCUGAUGAAAGAAGAAAGGGAGGACGAGUGAUAGAGUCGAGCUUGACGUGUCGCCGCCAGCGCUCUCGGUCGCCCGCCAGCGCGGCAGCUACGCCACCUCCUUGCCAUGCGAGUCCAUAGGUAGGCCACGGUGUCGUUCAUGUGCCGGUAAAACCUUUGUAUAUCUACCGCUCCCGCGCCGCCCGUUUACCGCCAUUCUUUUUACCGCUGCCGCCCUUCUGUCCAAGCCACCGCCGCCGGCAAAAUUCCUCUGCCACGCCUCACCUCCCGUCAAUUCCUCUCACCCACCCCUCCACAGAUACCCCAGCUACACCCCAGUCGACUUGUUGCCCAACAUCCUUGCCGGAGUACCCGUGCUCGCCGUCAUUCCCGUCCGCCAUCGCCGCACCUCCUGCUCACGGUGAGCACCCUCUUGCCGCUACUCUCUGUCCGUAUGGGUAGUCGUAGGCGAGUCCUCGGGGCACUAGGAAGCUGUAGCAGUAGUUGUCGGGGUAGGUUGCGCCGUCGUCGUGCUUAGUCGCGACCGGCCGUAGGCGCCGCCGCCCGCCGCCGUGGAGGAAGUAGCUCCGGCCGUCUCCCGGGAAGCUGUCACUGCGCACGGGUGCGCUAGGGCAUGGGGAUGCUUCCCCGGCCUAACCCCGUCACUGGUGGGGCGCCGGCCGGCGAGCCGCACCGUCCCCUGUUGCGCCUGGUUUUGGCGGGAGGAGGAAGAAGACGGCGGUGCCAUGGGCCCGCGCGUUAGUGGGAAAAAGGAGAAGAGGAAGAGG
rnacentral:lncRNA from 1 species